GGCCAGUAAAAGGCUAAAGCCUCUGAUUGAGCAGUAAAUAGAGGAGAGAGCCCACUGGUUAUUUUUGGUUAAUUGGAGUUCAUCCAGUGCCGCCAGCUGUGACUCAUUGGGCAAUAUUAGUCCAUGAGGGUAAAUGGAGCGGAGACAAUGGAUGGGGCGGUUCAGAAACCCUACUGAUAAGAAUUCAAUGCUUGAGGCCAGUGGGAAGCUUUGAAAAACCUAGGGCCCUGCUACAGCACCAUUGUGACUGUGGAGAACUGGACCUCCCCUUCCUGAAUUGCAACAUUGCAGAAGGCAGAAUAAUCCUCUUCCGGGUCAAAAUCUGGAUUAUCACUUGAAGGACGUGUCCAGAAGAUGUUAGCACUGAUCAGUUUUACUAUAUCAGAAUACGCUGAUUCAACAAUUACACCACGAUUAGUUGAAACAUACUCAACCAGUUCAUUCAGUGGUGCUCUUUUAAUUUCUUUGCUCUUCAAGUCUGAAACAGAGUCCAUGAAAUCAAACAGUACACAGCACUGUUGUAGCUUCUGGCAGAAAAGCUCUUGCUGUUCAUUUGAAGUGGCAUCUUUGAGCUGGGGCAGGGGGUGCAGCUCUGCCUGGCUGCCCUGGCUGCCCUGGCUGUGGAACUGCGACGAGCCCUGAGAACGCUUCUGCCUCUGUGCCUUGCGCACCGAUCAGGUGAAGCCGUCCACAACUGGUGCGAGUGGCGACGGCGACUUCUCGGCGACCCGGGCGCUCGGCCCCUCCCGCAGCGGCUG
rnacentral:lncRNA from 1 species